rnacentral:rRNA from 1 species
UGGAUUAGAUACCCUAGUAGUCCACGCCCUAAACGAUGUCAACUAGUUGUCGGAGGGGGAGACCUCUUUGGUAACGCAGCUAACGCGUGAAGUUGACCGCCUGGGGAGUACGGUCGCAAGAUUAAAACUCAAAGGAAUUGACGGGGGCCCGCACAAGCGGUGGAUUAUGUGGAUUAAUUCGAUGCAACGCGAAAAACCUUACCUACCCUUGACAUGCCAGGAACUUGCCAGAGAUGGCUUGGUGCUCGAAAGAGAACCUGGACACAGGUGCUGCACGGCCGUCGUCAGCU